rnacentral:tRNA from 1 species
UGUGGUGUCACUGAGUGGCAGAAUGCUUGCUUAGCACACAAGAGGCUUUGGGUUUGAUUCCCCAGCACCACAG